rnacentral:rRNA from 1 species
GUUGUUGGGUAGGGGAGCGUUCUGUAAGCCGUUGAAGGUGUGCUGUGAGGCAUGCUGGAGGUAUCAGAAGUGCGAAUGCUGACAUAAGUAACGAUAAAGCGGGUGAAAAGCCCGCUCGCCGGAAGACCAAGGGUUCCUGUCCAACGUUAAUCGGGGCAGGGUGAGUCGACCCCUAAGGCGAGGCCGAAAGGCGUAGUCGAUGGGAAACAGGUUAAUAUUCCUGUACUUGGUGUUACUGCGAAGGGGGGACGGAGAAGGCUAUGUCAGCCGGGCGACGGUUGUCCCGGUUUAAGCAUGUAGGCGGAGGUUCCAGGUAAAUCCGGUACCUUUUAACGCUGAGGUGUGAUGACGAGGCACUACGGUGCUGAAGUGAUAAAUGCCCUGCUUCCAGGAAAAGCCUCUAAGCAUCAGGUAACACGAAAUCGUACCCCAAACCGACACAGGUGGUCAGGUAGAGAAUACCAAGGCGCUUGAGAGAACUCGGGUGAAGGAACUAGGCAAAAUGGUGCCGUAACUUCGGGAGAAGGCACGCUGAUGUGUAGGUGAAGCCCCUGCGGGUGGAGCUGAAAUCAGUCGAAGAUACCAGCUGGCUGCAACUGUUUAUUAAAAACACAGCACUGUGCAAACACGAAAGUGGACGUAUACGGUGUGACGCCUGCCCGGUGCCGGAAGGUUAAUUGAUGGGGUUAGCGGCAACGCGAAGCUCUUGAUCGAAGCCCCGGUAAACGGCGGCCGUAACUAUAACGGUCCUAAGGUAGCGAAAUUCCUUGUCGGGUAAGUUCCGACCUGCACGAAUGGCGUAAUGAUGGCCAGGCUGUCUCCACCCGAGACUCAGUGAAAUUGAACUCGCUGUGAAGAUGCAGUGUACCCGCGGCAAGACGGAAAGACCCCGUGAACCUUUACUAUAGCUUGACACUGAACACUGGUCCUUGAUGUGUAGGAUAGGUGGGAGGCUUUGAAGCGUGGACGCCAGUCUGCGUGGAGCCAACCUUGAAAUACCACCCUUUAAUGGCUGGUGUUCUAACGUAGACCCGUAAUCCGGGUUGCGGACAGUGUCUGGUGGGUAGUUUGACUGGGGCGGUCUCCUCCCAAAGAGUAACGGAGGAGCACGAAGGUUGGCUAAUCCUGGUCGGACAUCAGGAGGUUAGUGCAAUGGCAUAAGCCAGCUUGACUGCGAGCGUGACGGCGCGAGCAGGUGCGAAAGCAGGUCAUAGUGAUCCGGUGGUUCUGAAUGGAAGGGCCAUCGCUCAACGGAUAAAAGGUACUCCGGGGAUAACAGGCUGAUACCGCCCAAGAGUUCAUAUCGACGGCGGUGUUUGGCACCUCGAUGUCGGCUCAUCACAUCCUGGGGCUGAAGUAGGUCCCAAGGGUAUGGCUGUUCGCCAUUUAAAGUGGUACGCGAGCUGGGUUUAGAACGUCGUGAGACAGUUCGGUCCCUAUCUGCCGUGGGCGCUGGAGAAUUGAGGGGGGCUGCUCCUAGUACGAGAGGACCGGAGUGGACGCAUCACUGGUGUUCGGGUUGUCAUGCCAAUGGCACUGCCCGGUAGCUAAAUGCGGAAGAGAUAAGUGCUGAAAGCAUCUAAGCACGAAACUUGCCCCGAGAUGAGUUCUCCCUGAGAC